GCCUCCAUAGUACAGUGGCUAGCAGACGCCUCAGGAAAGGGUGAUGCACGGGUUCGACUCCCGUCCGAGGCU